GUGUAAAAGAUUUGGAUUUGAAGAAAAUUUUUGCGUGGAAUCGCAAGGUAUGGCGGGUGGAUUAGUCUUGGCAUGGACUUUUGACGCUCAGCGACUUGAAGGCAUUGGGGAACAUUAUCUGUUGAUUGGAGACUUCAAUGCAAUUUUGGCUCAGCAUGAGAAAGAAGGAGGCAGGCACAAACCAGCAAGUUCUGUAACAGGUUCCAAUGAUUUCAUUAAUGCGGGCUGGUUAAGAGACAUUGGCUAUUAAGGUCGCAAAUUCACUUGGUCAAAUAGACAAUUUGGGGAAAAUCUAAUAAGAGAGAGGCUAGGCAGAUGCUUCGUUUCUAACAGAUGGUUGGCGGAGUAUCCUAAUGCAAGGGCUCUACACUUAGAGGAUAUGGGUUCUGACCACCGUCCAAUCAUUAUUCAGACUGAUCAGCAAGUUCAAAAACAGAAGCGACGCUUCCGAUUCCAAGAAAGGUGGUGUGAGUUGGAGGAGGUCCAAAACAUUAUCAAGGAAGCUUGGCAACAAAAUUUCUCAGGGUCACCAAUGUACAUUCUAUUCAGUAAAUUGAAAAACUGCCGUAAUAAACUUGUUGAA